ACGCGAAGAACCUUACCAUCCCUUGACAUCCUGCGAACUUUCUAGAGAUAGAUUGGUGCUUCGGGAACGCAGUGACAGGUGCUGCAUGGCUGUCGUCAGCUCGUGUCGUGAGAUGUUGGGNUAAGUCCCGCAACGAGCGCAACCCUUAUCAUUAGUUGCUAACAUUUAGUUGAGAACUCUAAUGAGACUGCCGGUGAUAAACCGGAGGAAGGNGGGGACGACGUCAAGUCAUCAUGGCCCUUAUGGGAUGGGCUACACACGUGCUACAAUGGGGGGUACAAAGAGCAGCCAACUGGCGACAGUGCGCGAAUCUCAUAAAACCUCUCGUAGUCCGGAUCGGAGUCUGCAACUCGACUCCGUGAAGUCGGAAUCGCUAGUAAUCGUGAAUCAGAAUGUCACGGUGAA
rnacentral:rRNA from 1 species